GAACGGACUGUCAUUCGGAUCCCUUCGGGGUGAAGAAAGAUAAGUUAGUGGCGAACGGGUGAGUAACGCGUGGGUAACCUGUCUAUAUGACCGGGAUAACAGCCGGAAACGGCUGCUAAUACCGGAUACACUUUUCCCUUGGCAUCAAGAGGAAAGCAAAGGUGGCCUCUCCAUGGAAGCUACCGCAUAAAGGUGGACCCGCGUCUGAUUAGCUAGUUGGUGGGGUAAUGGCCUACCAAGGCGACGAUCAGUAGCCGGCCUGAUAGGGUGAACGGCCACACUGGGACUGAGACACGGCCCAUACUCCUACGGGAGGCAGCAGUGGGGAAUUUUCCGCAAUGGGCGAUAGCCUGACGGAGCUACGCCGCGUGUACGAGGAANGGCUUCUGGUUGUNAAGUACUGUUGUNUGGGAAGAAGAGCGUAUAUGUAAAUAAUGUGUACGUGUGACGGUACCAACGAGGAAGCCCGGCCUACUACUUG
rnacentral:rRNA from 1 species